rfam:Mesocricetus auratus contig140462, whole genome shotgun sequence.
AGAUGUGAUGGGUGAUCUAGCUGGAACAUCUGUCACUCUGUUGAUCGCCAGCAUCCAUUCAGCUGAUCUGACUGGUUACGUAGGUGACUCCUUCCUACUUUAUAGCUCCAUGUGCGUCCCUCCAGAAGUUGCUCAUAUACCCAGUCUUUGGACAAGGAUAUAUGAGUAGCUGUGUGCCCCUGCUGGACCCUCCAACCCUGCUCUCAAGGUCCAUUCAUUGUCAGUUUUAAGAUUACAUAGUAUGAGUCUUCCACUACUGUCCUUGAGAUUAUUUCAGAUUUUUGUAUUAUUUCCAU